GAUGAACGCUGGCGGCGUGCCUAAUACAUGCAAGUCGAGCGAACGGACGAGAAGCUUGCUUCUCUGAUGUUAGCAGCGGACGGGUGAGUAACACGUGGAUAACCUACCUAUAAGACUGGGAUAACUUCGGGAAACCGGAGCUAAUACCGGAUAAUAUUUUGAACCGCAUGGUUCAAAAGUGAAAGACGGUCUUGCUGUCACUUAUAGAUGGAUCCGCGCUGCAUUAGCUAGUUGGUAAGGUAACGGCUUACCAAGGCAACGAUGCAUAGCCGACCUGAGAGGGUGAUCGGCCACACUGGAACUGAGACACGGUCCAGACUCCUACGGGAGGCAGCAGUAGGGAAUCUUCCGCAAAGGGCGAAAGCCUGACGGAGCAACGCCGCGUGAGUGAUGAAGGUCUUCGGAUCGUAAAACUCUGUUAUUAGGGAAGAACAUAUGUGUAAGUAACUGUGCACAUCUUGACGGUACCCAAUCAGAAAGCCACGGCUAACUACGUG
rnacentral:rRNA from 1 species